rnacentral:rRNA from 1 species
UACCAGCACCCCGAGUGGUCGGGACGUUUAUUGGGCCUAAAGCGUCCGUAGCCGGUUCUACAAGUCUUCCGUUAAAUCCAGCUGCUUAACAGAUGGGCUGCGGAAGAUACUAUGGAGCUAGGAGGCGGGAGAGGCAAGCGGUACUCGAUGGGUAGGGGUAAAAUCCGUUGAUCCAUUGAAGACCACCAGUGGCGAAGGCGGCUUGCCAGAACGCGCUCGACGGUGAGGGAUGAAAGCUGGGGGAGCAAACCGG